UGGGGAAUAUUGCACAAUGGGCGAAAGCCUGAUGCAGCAACGCCGCGUGAGUGAUGAAGGUCUUCGGAUUGUAAAGCUCUGUCUUUUGGGACGAUAAUGACGGUACCAAAGGAGGAAGCCACGGCUAACUACGUGCCAGCAGCCGCGGUAAUACGUAGGUGGCGAGCGUUGUCCGGAUUUACUGGGCGUAAAGGGUGCGUAGGCGGAUGUUUAAGUGAGAUGUGAAAUACCCGGGCUUAACUUGGGUGCUGCAUUUCAAACUGGAUAUCUAGAGUGCAGGAGAGGAGAAUGGAAUUCCUAGUGUAGCGGUGAAAUGCGUAGAGAUUAGGAAGAACACCAGUGGCGAAGGCGAUUCUCUGGACUGUAACUGACGCCGAGGCACGAAAGCGUGGGUAGCAAACAGGAUUAGAUACCCUGGUAGUCCACGCCGUAAACGAUGAGUACUAGGUGUAGGAGGUAUCGACCCCUUCUGUGCCGCAGUAAACACAUUAAGUACUCCGCCUGGGAAGUACGAUCGCAAGAUUAAAAC
rnacentral:rRNA from 1 species